CCAACCUUUUUGUCCCUUAUGAAGUACUUACAUAAAAACAAGGUAAAUGGCAAGCUAUCAAAUUGGAUGUUCGUCUGUCACGUCUUAUAAAAAUAAUUUAAAAUUAAUCCGACGUUUUGAAGGGGUUCAAAAUCAUGUUCAAAGAUUCCGUUACAAACAUACAUAGGUACGUCUGAAGCUAAUAAAAGUGUAUUAAAAAGUACAUUCCUGGCGAUCCCAUCUAUAUUGUAUAUUUUUAUUUCACUAAAGAAUCUAUCAUGCAUUUUUUCAUCAAAACAUUUUUUGUACAUGGUCUUUUAGAAGCGAGUGGGCAUGUCCAUGUUAUUACCAAGUAAUUAUUGUUACGAUGAUAUUGAGACUACGCCAGGUGAUAAAUUCAUAUAACAUGAUUUUAUGGCUCGUAAAUUACUUAAUAUCAAAAGAUCAUUUCGUAAAGAAAAAUGUUUUCGUUUUUUUUUUAAGUUCCAUUUGUCAAUUUUUAUCUUUUGUAGUGUUUGCCAGAUUUAAAAUAGCUCUAAAAUGCUUAAUGUAUGUGGUUUGAAAUUAAAUUGAUAAGUAUAGAUUUUUUCGACCACGUUAGAUUGUAGAUACUCUUACGCUUACUCUGUACAUAUGGUGUUAAAUAAAGUGUUAUAUUAUUAUUAUUAUUACAUACAUUGAUACAGUUAUUAUUGAUUUUAGCCUAUAUUUCAAUUAGACCAUUGAAAACUUGAUAAGGGAAACCUUAAUCACCAUAAACUUUCACGAAAUGGUACCGGAACUACACAUACCACACAGCCCCAGCAACCCUUGGCCCAGCAUUCAGGGGCGUCUCUACGGCACCAUUUGCGUCAUUAUUUUCAAAGGUUUAGCAAACGGACUCAUGGUCAAUUUGGUAUAAAGUGGUGUACAUCAGAAUAAAGGCGAAGACUUAAUUAUAUUGAAUAAUGACCUCUGUAACCCAUCAAAUUGGAAUGGAUGACUGACUCGCGGUUGAAAUAUAAAACGUACGGGUUGUGUCUACCCGUUCUGGAUUCCACAGGAAGAUUUUGUGUAGCAUUUUGUGUUCAGUUUUCUAAAAUCGACGCAAUGAAAAUUCGUAAAUAAUAUAACAGUAGCUCAAUGCAUAAACUAUGAGGAGAUUUUAGAAAAUCAAUGCAUUUGCAUAAAUAUACUUCCUGUUUAUAAUAAUAAAAUAAAAGUAAACACAACGAACAAGAAAGUUGAAAGCAAUAAAAUAAAUUGUAUUCUCAAAA